AGAAUCCGUGGUGUGAUCUUCCUGCAGCUAACCAAUUUUACCACCAGGUGCGGUUUUCGGGAGGUGCUGGAGCUGGACAGGUGCAGCUCAUCAGGCUCAUCAGCUGGGCAGUAUAUGAAGAGGCUGCGCCUGCACUUUGUUGCCUGAGCGUUUUGCCUUUGCGGUACAGCUGCUGGCCAUCCUAGAAGUCUGAUUUUGUUGUUGAAAGCUAAGUUUGAUGUGCUUCACUUCUGUACUGAUUUUACCCUGUCCUGACACUUCCAGGUGCAUUACUUCUGGAUCCGACGGAGUUGACCAGAGACUUGGAGUGAAUCAGUUUGAACCGAUUCCCGGAUUGAACCUUUGUGCUGACUCUUCUGUGAGCCUCCAGCUGAGCGAAUCCUGUCCACCCUCCCAGCACCUCCUGUUCGGCCCGCCCCGACCACCAUGGCGGGUGAAGCUGACCACUCUCUCUCACACCCCAGGAUUUCUGACUAUCCUCCCUGGUGGAUUUACCCGUGCUUACCUCCAGAGGAUUCCACUCCCGUUUCCCGAUUCCCAGGAUUAUUAGCUAAAAAUAAAUAUUUGUCUAAACUUA